rnacentral:misc_RNA from 1 species
GAUGAAUAACGCAGCGAAAUGCGAUAAGUAAUGUGAAUUGCAGAAUUCAGUGAAUCAUCGAAUCUUUGAACGCACAUUGCGCCCGCCAGUAUUCUGGCGAGCAUGCCUGUUCGAGCGUCAUUUCAACCAUCAAGCCCCAGGCUUGUGUUGGAGCCCUGCGGCUGCCGCAGCCUCCCAAAACCAGUGGCGGGCUCGCUAUCACACCGAGUGCAGUAGUUUACUCUUCGCUCAGGGCGUGUGGCGGGUGCUAGCCGUGAAACCCCCAACUUCUCAAGGUUGACCUCGGAUCAGGUAGGAAUACCCGCUGAACUUAAGCAUAUCAAUAAGCGGAGGA